AACAAUUCUACGGUUUGGAGAUUAUAUUGGUUGUUUCCAAUACGAAGAUGGAAAAUCUCUGAGAAAUGGUAAAAUAGGUUGGGACUACGGCAGUCUGGAUCUGUGCAAGGCAUUUUGUGGAAAACAGAAUGCUCAUUUCUAUGGUGUAGCGUUUGGCAAAAGGUGUUUGUGUGGCGAUCUAGGAAAAACAAUUCGUAAAGAUGAGAUAGAUUGUAGUCAACCGUGCUCGAAAAAUAAGAAUCAAUGGUGUGGUGGAUAUUAUAGGAUGAGUCUCUAUAUAAAUAGAGACUUUGA